rnacentral:rRNA from 1 species
AAUCAACGCUGGCGGCGUGCCUCAGACAUGCAAGUCGAACGAUUAAGACUUCCUUCGGGAAGUGUAUAAAGUGGCGCACGGGUGAGUAACACGUAAGUAAUCUACCUUCGAGUGGGGAAUAACGUCCGGAAACGGACGCUAAUACCGCAUAAUGCAGCGGCACCUAAUGGUGACAGUUGUUAAAGGAGCAAUUCGCUUGAAGAGGAGCUUGCGGCAGAUUAGCUAGUUGGUAAGGUAACGGCUUACCAAGGCUACGAUCUGUAACCGGUCGAAGAGGACGGUCGGUCACACUGACACUGAAUAACGGGUCAGACUCCUACGGGAGGCAGCAGUCGGGAAUUUUGGGCAAUGGGCGAAAGCCUGACCCAGCAACGCCGCGUGAAGGAUGAAGUAUUUCGGUAUGUAAACUUCGAAAGAAUGGGAAGAAUAAAUGACGGUACCAUUUAUAAGGUCCGGCUAACUACGUGCCAGCCGCCGCGGUAAAAC